AGAGUUUGAUCCUGGCUCAGGAUGAACGCUGGCGGCGUGCUUAGCACAUGCAAGUCGAACGCACCUUCGGGUGAGUGGCGGACGGGUGAGUAACGCGUGGGAAUCUGCCCUUAGGAGGGGGAUAACGGCUGGAAACGGCCGCUAAUACCCCAUAUGCCGAGAGGUGAAACGAAUUUCGCCUGAGGAUGAGCCCGCGUCUGAUUAGCUAGUUGGUGGGGUAAGAGCCCACCAAGGCGACGAUCAGUAGCUGGUCUGAGAGGAUGAUCAGCCACACUGGGACUGAGACACGGCCCAGACUCCUACGGGAGGCAGCAGUGGGGAAUUUUCCGCAAUGGGCGAAAGCCUGACGGAGCAACGCCGCGUGAGGGAUGAAGGCCUCUGGGCUGUAAACCUCUUUUCUCAAGGAAGAAGACAUGACGGUACUUGAGGAAUAAGCCACGGCUAAUUCCGUGCCAGCAGCCGCGGUAAUACGGGAGUGGCAAGCGUUAUCCGGAAUUAUUGGGCGUAAAGCGUCCGCAGGCGGCUCUGUAAGUCUGUUGUUAAAGCGUGGAGCUCAACUCCAUUUCAGCAAUGGAAACUACAGGGCUUGAGUGUGGUAGGGGCAGAGGGAAUUCCCGGUGUAGCGGUGAAAUGCGUAGAUAUCGGGAAGAACACCAGUGGCGAAGGCACUCUGCUGGGCCAUAACUGACGCUCAUGGACGAAAGCCAGGGGAGCGAAAGGGAUUAGAUACCCCUGUAGUCCUGGCCGUAAACGAUGAACACUAGGUGUCGGGGGAAUCGACCCCCUCGGUGUCGUAGCCAACGCGUUAAGUGUUCCGCCUGGGGAGUACGCACGCAAGUGUGAAACUCAAAGGAAUUGACGGGGGCCCGCACAAGCGGUGGAGUAUGUGGUUUAAUUCGAUGCAACGCGAAGAACCUUACCAGGGUUUGACAUCCUGCGAAUCCCUUGGAAACUUGGGAGUGCCUUCGGGAGCGCAGAGACAGGUGGUGCAUGGCUGUCGUCAGCUCGUGUCGUGAGAUGUUGGGUUAAGUCCCGCAACGAGCGCAACCCACGUCUUUAGUUGCCAGCAUUCAGUUGGGCACUCUAGAGAGACCGCCGGUGAUAAACCGGAGGAAGGUGUGGAUGACGUCAAGUCAUCAUGCCCCUUACAUCCUGGGCUACACACGUACUACAAUGCUACGGACAGAGGGCAGCAAGCUCGCGAGAGUUAGCAAAUCCCAUAAACCGUGGCUCAGUUCAGAUCGUAGGCUGCAACUCGCCUACGUGAAGGAGGAAUCGCUAGUAAUCGCAGGUCAGCGUACUGCGGUGAAUACGUUCCCGGGCCUUGUACACACCGCCCGUCACACCAUGGAAGUUGGCCAUGCCCGAAGUCGUUACUCCAACCC
rnacentral:rRNA from 1 species